UACGGAGGGGGCUAGCGUUGUUCGGAAUUACUGGGCGUAAAGCGCACGUAGGCGGCUUUGCAAGUUAGAGGUGAAAGCCCGGGGCUCAACUCCGGAAUUGCCUUUAAAACUGCAUCGCUAGAAUUGUGGAGAGGUAAGUGGAAUUCCGAGUGUAGAGGUGAAAUUCGUAGAGAUCGGGAGGAACACCUGUGGCGAAGGCGGCUCGCUGGAUCUUUUCUGACGCUGAGGCGCGAAAGCUAGGGGGCAAACGGG
rnacentral:rRNA from 1 species